rnacentral:tRNA from 1 species
GCGCCCUUAGUUCAAUGGAUAGAGCGUCUGACUUCGGAUCAGAAUGUUGGGGGUUCGAAUCCCUCAGGGCGUGCCA